GCCUGGGUGGCUCAGUGGUUGAGCAUCUGCCUUUGGCCCAGGGCGUGAUCCCAGGGUCCUGGGAUCGAGUCCCACACCAGGCU
rnacentral:tRNA from 1 species